GGAUAAGGUGUGCAUACAUCCCAACCUUCAAAGAUCCCACUUGUAGAACUACAAAUUACACGGGGUAUGUUAUUGUUUACUACAUCAUAAUACAAUCAACAGAUGAGAAGCUAGAAAGUAUUUUCACAAACAUGAUAAGCUUAUCCAAUGCUAUGGUAUACUAUGGGGCAACUGCAAUCAACACUUUUUUCUAACAUAAUCAGCAAUACUCUAUAAUAUGUUGAUUAUGUGUUCGCGACUGUACAGUCAUGCAUGAUAACCUAUGCUAAACGUGGUGUUCUUUAGUAUUUCAUAACAGCACAGUGCUUGUGAGAAGCUUCUCUUCAUACUGACAUGGUAUGUUCUUGUCUUCUUCCCGUUCAGCUGCUGCUGCUGCUUCUCAUAAUCCCAUAUGCUACUGUAUGACUGGAGACCACUGCCUAGUCCGCGUCCUUAACUUCUGCUUCUAUAUCAACAAUUCCGACAGAGGAAUUCUUACCUUUCUUAGAACGAGUACUGAAAUCACCAAAUGCUUGACCAAAUGUAGUUGACUGGUUGGAGAACGUUACUGGG
rnacentral:misc_RNA from 1 species